UACGGAGGGUGCAAGCGUUAAUCGGAAUUACUGGGCGUAAAGCGUGCGCAGGCGGUUUGUUAAGUCUGAUGUGAAAUCCCCGAGCUCAACUUGGGAAUUGCAAUGGAUACUGGCAGGCUGGAGUAUGGUAGAGGAAGGUGGAAUUCCCGGUGUAGCAGUGAAAUGCGUAGAGAUCGGGAGGAACACCAGUGGCGAAGGCGGCCUUCUGGACCAAUACUGACGCUCAUGCACGAAAGCGUGGGGAGCAAACAGG
rnacentral:rRNA from 1 species